GCCCAGCGACAGCGCCGCUGCUCACCUCUCUCUGUUCAGGGUCCUGCAUUCGUGGCAUUCCCACGUGCUGGCAAGACACCAGGAGAGGAUGAGGAGAGCCCAGAGCACAGUCUGAGUCUUUGCCCUUCGCAGUACUCAUAUGUGCAAAGCUCUGGGGAGCAGAUCCAGUGCACAACGGCGGGAUCCAGGAAAGCCUCUGAGGCACAGAGGCUCCCAGGAUUGAAGUCCAGCAAAAGCCUCCUCCAGGAUCACAAGCAGCAGCAGUGCCGGCCAGCCAGGCUGUUAGCAGCAAUGCUUCCAUCUGAUCAGUAAAGACCUCUAUGCAAA